GGUCCAAUGGUCUAGUGGUAUGACGCAACCUUCACAGCAGUCAAAUGCUCAAGUUCGGUUUAGGUCCCGGGUUCGAACCCCGGUUGGACCU